UUUGGAGAUUUUCUCACAAAUUUGCCCUAAACCAGGACAGGCACCAAUACCCUUCCUUACUCAAAUGAAGUUGGAGCUCAGUUUCUGUGCAAAGUCACAGAAAUGAAUGUUUUGCAUUGACACUCUUGGCUUUUCCUUGUUUGCAUGUACAGGCCAGCCCAGCCCUUCUGGAGGCACUUCAUGGUGGGGACUGCCCUGGAAUAUCCUUUACAUCCCACAGAAAGGACACAAGCACAGGACUCUGGGCAGAGCUGCAAUGGAAAAUCAUGGAUAUCCUGACCUGUUCCACUACUCCUCAGCCACCCUGGAGAGGGAUUGCUGCAACCAGCACGUGCUGGAUAAGGACAAGAGAAGCAUGAUGAACUGAAAAAGCUCACAGCUGCAUGGCUGCAGCAGAAGACAGCAUGCCAUUAACUAACCAGUGGAUACACUACCUUGCCCAAUGUCUAAAUUUACCCUUUCAGACAGGCAAGUACCGGCAUCAAGUCAAAAUCUUAGGGAAUACAUUAAACACUGGUAAUAACACAGCAACAGUACUUAUAACACAUGGGGACAUGGCCUUGAUAUUUUAAGAAAUCCGUGGCUUUUCCACUAAAAACUUUGUGGCUGCUACAAUUUCUAAUUCCCACACUACAUCUGAGUUAAAUUGUUAUGAGUCUCAGAAACUCAUGAAAUUAAUUGGAGCAGUUCACAGCAUCACAAAUGUGUUUUACAUGUCUAGACAAAUCUGAUUAUCAUCAUGCCCUUCAGAAACAUGUUAUAUAUUCCCAGCACAUCAGAUUUUACAUAGCAUUACCAUUAAAUACAGUCUAACUUCAGCUGACAAACCAGAGAAUAAUGAUUAAAUGGUAAUUUACUUGACUUGUAAGAAGUGAAUUACGUACACACCAAGCAAGAUAUUUGACAAUGGCAUCAGACAGCUCUGAAUUAAAAACCCUCCAUUUUAUGUUAAAUGUAUUUUUAAAACCAUUUGCAGUACCAUAAGUAACAUAAAACAAAAAACAAAGUUUUCAUUGCAUUUGUUUUGUGAUUGAGUAGUGUGAAAAAGGCAGACCUAAAUAAAUAAAACCAGAUUGAAGCUCA
rnacentral:lncRNA from 1 species